GCCUGACCGUAACAAGCAAUUAAACUACCAAUUGCUCGCCAAACAACUACGAGUCAAACUUAAAACUUAAAAGACUUGACGGUACUUCACCACGCUCUAGAGGAGCCUGUCCAAUAACCGACGAUCCACGAUUAACCCAGCCCCUUCUUGCCCAACAGUCUAUAUACCGCCGUCGCCAGCUUACCUUGUAAAAGAAAUAAAGUAAGCUAAAUAGCACUGCACUAAAACGACAGGUCGAGGUGUAACUCAUGAAGAGGACUAAGAUGGGCUACAUUCCCAACCGGGUAUACGAAUAGCACUAUGAAAUUACUCCUUAAAGGCGGAUUUAGCAGUAAGAUAGGGAUAAAACACCUAACUGAACACAACGCAAUGAAGUGCGUACACACCGCCCGUCAUCCCUGCCACCAC
rnacentral:rRNA from 1 species